AGGGAACGGAUCUUAGUGAAGCAGUAACAAAGUUGAGCACAACAUCCAGCUCCUGGACACUUCAGACUGUAAUUUGGAAACAUGCACAUGUCUGGCUCCAGGACCAUGGGACUUUCUAUCUCCUCUGGGGAACAGAAAUGUGAACAGUGAGAAGGACACAGCAUCUAGGACUGUUGGUGUUUUCUGGUCGUGUAGAAGGGACCCACAUGCCAGGCAAACACUCCAUGACUGAGCUACAUCCCAGCCUGCAAUUGUCAUCUUUAUUCAGAGAGGAGAAAAUGAACAGCAUGAGUUUUUAAAAAGAAAGAAGAGACGGUGAAGCCCUUGCUGAGGAGACACCAUGGAGGUGCAGGCCAGGCAGGGGCCCCAAAGUGGGAGGGGUGUCUGAUUGUUGCAUCAUUUUGUCUUAGGUCAGCCUAAUCUUCACCUUCAAAGAAAGUCAAGGGAUUUACUGGCAGGCCUUGGUGAACCAAUGGAGCAUCAUCUCUCACACACAGAUCUUGUUAAGACCCUAACCUAAAUCGCAAGAAGAUGAAGUUCUCUUGAGAAAUUCUGGCACAUUUCUGUAAGUUCCUCAGCCUGUGCUCUGCAAACAAGCUGGCCAGUGGAGAAAGCAGAGACUACUGAAAACAACCACAUAACCUCUCUUAGAUGAGAAACUGAACUGAUUAGUUAACCUUUGUUUUAGUUCAGGGUUGUGAUUUGUGUAUGUCAUAAUUCUUGCCCCUUAUCUAGUUAUCAGAAUGUUGGAAGAACUAAUACAAUCAUUUAUGUCACAUACUUUAAACUUUAAUGUCAAUUGUAAAGGUAAAGGUGACACUUCCUUUCUUAAGUGUUACCACAUUAAACAUUAACCUAGUGCCACCACUGCAGGUUUGUACAUUCAGCCCAUUGCUAAGGAGACUGCCUUUGGAAAUUGAAAUGAUAAAGUACCAGUUCUGUUUCUGCUCUCAAAAUCUCGAGAAUUAAAUACCAGGGAAAGUUGGUAUGAAAUAUGCCUUUGCCGGCAGACCCUCAAAACAUCCCUUACCUUCUAGGCCUCAAACUAAUGCCCAAGUGACCUUGGCUUCUCCAGGCCUGUAAUCAGCAGCCUACUUUGCCUGGCAGCCAGUACUCAACUCCUCUGAUUCCUGGAGGCAUCCCCUGGUCUAAGGGAAUGUGGAAGAAAGAGUCCCCUCUUCCCUCCAUUCUCUGUGUCCAGUCACUUUGCCAUCUGUGAUCACCACAGCCACAGAACUACUGACUCAGAAGAGGUUAAAGCUGAUUUGAGCAGAAGUCUGAGCCAAGCGUGCACAAAUCCCAGUGUCUACCCAGAAAGCAGUAUCUCCAUGUCACACAGAAGGCUCAUGUUAGAUGUGUUGAUUCAGAGAUCAGGGAAAAUCAAGGAAUAAGGAAAUGAUAGUAGGAAUACUGUCCUCUCAAUGUACUUUGCUAACUGCAAACAUGUUUUUGUGUGUUUCCCAUAAAGUUCUGUUCCCACUGGACUUUUGUAAUAGUGAGGAUUAAGGGACUUACAGGUUUCUCAGAACCACCCAGGAUUGGAGCUCCAAAAUGAUAGUCUCUCUCUCUCUCUUUCUCUCUCUCUCUCUCAUUAGCACAUAUUAACUGUACA